GACGAACGCUGGCGGCGUGCUUAACACAUGCAAGUCGAACGGAAAGGCCUCUUUCGGGGGGUACUCGAGUGGCGAACGGGUGAGUAACACGUGAGUAACCUGCCCUUUACUUUUGGAUAUCUUCAGGAAACUGGGGCUAAUACCGGAGAGGAGCUCCUGCUGCAUGGUGGGGGUUGGGAAGUGUCGGCGGGUGGGGGUGGACUCUCGGGUUAUCUGCUUGUUGGUGGGGUAGUGGCUUACCAAGGCCUUGACGGGUAUCCGGGCUGGGAGGGUGACCGGGCACAUUGGGAAUGAGAUACGGGCCAGACCCCUACGGGGGGGAGCAGGGGGGAAUAUUGCACAAUGGGGCGAAGCCUGAUGCAGCAAAGGCGUGUGCGGGAUGAAGGGCCUUGGGUUGUAAACCGCUUUCGCCCAGUAAGAAGGCUUGUGUGACGGUAGUGGGUAAAGAAGCACCGGCUAACUACGUG
rnacentral:rRNA from 1 species